rnacentral:rRNA from 1 species
GUGAGGAAUAUUGGUCAAUGGGCGGGAGCCUGAACCAGCCAAGUCGCGUGAAGGAAGAAGGAUCUAUGGUUCGUAAACUUCUUUUGCAGGGGAAUAAAGUGCAGGACGUGUCCUGUUUUGUAUGUACCCUGAGAAUAAGGAUCGGCUCACUCCGUGCCAGCAGCCGCGGUAAUUCGGAGGAUCCGAGCGUUAUCCGGAUUUCUUGGGUUUAAAGGGUGCGUAGGUGGUUUGAUAAGUCAGCGGUGAAAGUUUGCAGCUUAACUGUCAAAAUGCCGUUGAAACUGUCGGACUUGAGUGUAAAGGAGGUAGGCGGAAUGCGUGGUGUAGCGGUGAAAUGCAGAGAUAUCACGGAGAACUCCGAUUGCGAAGGCAGCUUACUAAGCUACAACUGACACUGAAGCACGAAAGCGUGGGGAUCAAACAGGAUUAGAUACCCGAGUAGUCC